rnacentral:rRNA from 1 species
AUUGAACGCUGGCGGCAGGCCUAACACAUGCAAGUCGAGCGACCGGCGGACGGGUCAUUACUGUAUGGGGACUGCCCGAUGGAGGGGGAUACCGACUGGAGACGGUAACUACUACUGCAUACUAUCGGAUAACCUAUAUGGGAUUAGCUAGUAGGUGAGGUAAUGGCUCACCUAGGCGACGAUCCCUAGCUGGUCUGAGAGGAUGAUCAGCCACACUGGGACUGAGACACGGCCCAGACUCCUACGGAGGCAGCAGUGGGGAAUAUUGCACAAUGGGCGCAAGCCUGAUGCAGCCAUGCCGCGUGUAUGAAGAAGGCCCUAGGGUUGUAAAGUACUUUCAGUCGGGAGGCGUUACCGACAGAAGAAGCACCGGCUAACUCCGUGCCAGCAGCCGCGGUAAUAC